rnacentral:lncRNA from 1 species
CAGCUAUUCCCCUACUGGGGAUCUUCCUCAAAGAAUUAAAAGAAUCAUACCACAGUGAUAUAUGUGCACCCAUGUUCAUAGCGGCACAGUUUGUAAUAGCUAAAUCUUGGAAACAGCCCAAGUGCCCAUUAACUGAUGAAUGGUUAAAGAAGAUGUGGUUUUUUUUAUACAAGGGAGUACUACUCUGCCAUAAAGAAGGUUGAGCUUGAGACAUUUCUAGCUAAACAAAUGGACCUUGAGACCAUACUGUUAAGUGAAAUAAAUCCUAUACAUGUUUAAAUGCCACAUUAUUUUUCUGAUAUGAGAAGCCAAAAGUGUAAAUAAGGACUAAAAUGUAUGAUAAAUAUUGGGAAAUGGGAAGAAAAUGUUCAAAUGAGAAGGGGAACAAGGGAGGCAGGAGGGAGAAAGGAAGGAAAGGACAAGAAAAAAAGUGAAAAUAGAAGGAAAACUGGAAACAAAGCUUUUGUGCACAGGGAGGAGAGAGGAGCUUAGGAGGAAUGGGAGAAAAAGAAGAGGCAGGAUAUAUCAUGUACAGGUACAAAUUCCCUGUGAUGAGUGCUAUCAUUAUGUACAUCUGAAAUGUACUAAUAAAGGUUUUGCUUUUUAAAAACAUGCCGAGAGGGCCAGGGAUUUAGCUCAGUGGCACCGCGCCUGCCUCGAAAGUUCGAUCCCCGGUACCAAAAAAUAAAAAUAAAAAAUGCCGAGUGGUGGUGCACACCUGUGAUCCCAGCACUUGGAGGCUGAGUGCUGGGAUUACAGGUAAGCGUCACCACGCCUAGCCCUGACUUACAUUUUAAGGGGGACUUUCUGGCUUUUGUGCUCAAAACAGACAAUGGGAGGGCCAGGCUAUCAGCGGAGGCUCACCUGCCCUACGGCCACUUGGCUGACCCAAGGGUGAGCUCUGCUGCCUUCUGUCUUGGGUGGGAGCUCACGGAGCAGGGAGACGCUGGCUGUGAGCCCGACCCGAAGCAAGGCCAGCAGGACUUGCCAGUGGACAGGGGAGGUGGGAGAGAGGGGCAUCCCAGCUCCCCUAAACCAAGCGACACAGGAGGCCCAGACAGACCCACACCCACUGUGGAGCCCUGGGCCCGCAGCUCAGCGUCCACCCACUGGGCACCGACCUCAGUCCUGCGUGCAAGGGGGACUGAACACUAAUCUGCAUCUGGCAGGCCGGGCUUUGCACAGAGCAGGCUCUGGCUCCACCACCCACAUCUCAUCACUGGGUGCACUUUUGGGAGGAGGCGAAGAGGGAGGUGAGGCGAGGUCGGGAGAAGGAAAGGGACUUGGUCCUCAGUGUGCAGCGUCCACUCAGAGGGGGCAGGGGCCGGUGACCCCAGAGGGCUGUGGCCGCUCUCCUGGGAGACGCCGUUCCCCGAUGCAGCCAGACACAGCAGUCUGUGAGGCCACACUCCG